UACGUAGGGUGCAAGCGUUAAUCGGAAUUACUGGGCGUAAAGCGUGCGCAGGCGGUGAUGUAAGACAGGUGUGAAAUCCCCGGGCUUAACCUGGGAACUGCAUUUGUGACUGCAUCGCUGGAGUGCGGCAGAGGGGGAUGGAAUUCCGCGUGUAGCAGUGAAAUGCGUAGAUAUUCGGAGGAACACCGAUGGCGAAGGCAAUCCCCUGGGCCUGCACUGACGCUCAUGCACGAAAGCGUGGGGAGCAAACAGG
rnacentral:rRNA from 1 species